GGGGGGGCGCAGGAUCCUGGGCUGAGUCCCCUGACGCCCUGGGCUCCGGGGCCUACACCACUGGAAUUGCGCUCCCAGGGUCGCACAGCCCCUC
rnacentral:pre_miRNA from 1 species